GGUCAGCAGCAUCUUGGGUGUUUUCCUCUGCCUGUUUGUUUUUGUUUCUUUCCUCCUGUGCGUUCAUUCCCGUUUGAAAGUGCCCUGUAUUUACCUGCAGGACAGUCUAGACAGCUAAUGAAAUAGUAAGAGCCCAGUGGAGUUCUGCAAGAAUGUAAACAGAAAGAGUGUCAGAAAUAGGACACUUGAAAGAACAUCUCCCAGUGGCAAAGAUAAGAGCCCAUGUCCUGCAUCCUGUGGCUGUGCAUUCUCAGCCACAAGAGUCACUACAGCCCCUUUCCGGAGGGAGGCGAUUUGGACAACGCCAUCCGACUGAUGCGGCUGAUCCAGCUUUACCCGAGGGAAGUGGAUGAGGUCACAAGACUCAGAAAGGACUUGUUUGCUGUCAGGAGGAUGGUGAGCUUGACACGUCAAAUAGAGCUGAGUGCUGCUGUGAGGAGAGAAAGGAAAGGCAAGGUUGUGUGCUUGUGCCCAUUGAGUGCCACUGAAGACGACUGGCUCCUGGUGGUGCUCUGUGAAAAUCAGGCUGGUGGCAGCUCCAAUAGCAGGCACAGUUAUCAAUUUGCAGUUUGUGUGGGAUUAAGGGGAAUUCUGCCUGCAAAGAGUCCUGUUCGUGAGCAGAACUGAUGCCAGGCUGCUAAACAGAGCAAAGAAAACGUUGUCGCUGUCUCAAAGAGCUUCCAAGAUCGAGUGCCAUCCUACACAACCCCCAGUACCAACUACUAGGGUUCUCCAAAAUGAAACACUUCCAAGAACCAAAGAUUUCAAAACUAAGGAAAUCUCUGCCAUAUGCCAUAGAGCCAGAUGUGUAUUCCGCAUGGGAAGGUUAUUUAUUGAAGCAAAGAACAUGGCUGCUGCAAGCUGAUGAUCGGUGGCAUCAGUUCUGCCGGAUGCAAGAACGAAACCUGAAUUUCAUAGAAGGAAACAAGAGUUUUCAUGGCUCCAAGGGACCUGCUGAGAAUACCUCCCAUAUUUUGGGACAGACAACAGACUCCCAAGAGAGCCUGAAAAAGCAGCUGCCACCUUUGGUUUUUACUCUGAACUGGAUGCAGUUUCAUAAUCCCAGUCUGUUCUGCUCUAGUUUUAGGUCUGUGGCUUUGGAUAACCACCUAUAUGUGCCUAUUUUCCUUCAUUAGGUGUCAGGUAACAAACUGUUCUGAAACAGGGUGUACCAGCAUGGGAACAGCAGGGUUAGAAAUCAGUGCCAAGAUGCUCAGAUGAAUUUCUUUAUCCUCAUCCUCGCGCUGGCAAGGGUAGUUGUUAAAUUCAGCUAAUUAGAGAAGGUUGAUAGAACAAGUCUGUAAGUGUUGCAGUCGGGCUCUCAGACACGGUGCGUGUGUACUUUCUACAUGCAAAAGAGCUUGGGGAGUUUCUGUGUGUAUGAUAUGAGGCUCUCUUUAUAUUAAGCCUUUCUUGAACAUAAACCUCACGAGGGAAGUGCUUUUUAUACUUCUCCUGUCCCCAGAACCUCAAGAUAAAAUUAAAAAUGCCAGGACAUAAAUGACCACCCUUGGCUCUGUUUUGCCUCGUUACCAACAAAAAUACUGGUAUCAGUUGGCAUGAAUUGGCAGCGUUUCAACAGCAUCCUUUGAACCAGGCCAAUCCUCCAAAUGACAGGCUGGUUCCAGAUAUAUUUUUAGCCAGAAUACUCUGUGGCACAUGUUGCUGUCUUUCUGGAACCAUUUAUAGUUUCUGCAGUAUCAUUUACUACCAUUUUCUCUAAUUGUGUUUCCAGGAGAGCUGUAAAUGUACACUUUUGCUACAGGCACUGAGCAUAAAAUAGGAAAGAAAGGAGGGAAGGUCAGAGCAGUAGAUGAGUCACUGUGCAGCAGAAAUUCACAUCUACAGGUCAACACUGGUUUUGUCUGGCAAUGCAGAGCUUAAGCAUCCCCACUGAUUGUGGCCAUCAACCCAUGCAGAGUGACAGUGUGUGCAUGGAUUUGCUCACACAUUGCUGUGCUCUUGUUCAUGUGCUUCAGUUGCUGGAGACAUGAAGAUAGGGACAGAGGAUAAAUAGGGAACCUGGUGCUUCCCAGUGCUGUGCUGCAACUCUGCCAGUGUCCGUGGCGAAAAUGAACUAAUAUAAUACAUGGAAAUGAUCAGAUCACCUCUCUCAUGGCAUUCUGUAUUCUUUUGUGUUGCACUUUGUCACCUUCCUGAUUCCAAGGGGGGUCUCAAACUGCUGCUAAAUGAGACCAGCAGAAUAUUGUAACCACUCUGAACACACUUUCUAUUGGUAUAAAUGACCCUGCAAGGAAAGGAGUAAUGGAGAACCCCGUUUAUGAACUUUGUUUGAGGUAACUUACUCUGUGGUUACUUUACUAUGGAUUUUAGUACACCUUGGUGAGCAUAUAGGUUUUCACUGGAUAACAUGAUCACAAAA